GGCUGCCUCUAAGAAGAUUCUGAUAUUGGAGGUAGACCAUUUCCAUUUAUACUUGCACAGGGAAGCUUAGUUCUCUUUGAAUCAUGACAUUAUUGCUGGCUUUAUCAUCUUUUUCAUAGUUUCAGGUUUUUCUCAGGAUCACUGUGCCAAGGAGAUUGAGAAGCAUGAUUCACUUGCAAAACUAUGUGCAGAAGAGAGUUGCCAGUUUGCAUUGAAGAGAAGGCUGUCAUUCCUAGGAGCUUUUACACUAAUGAAAUUAUAGAAAUAAAAACUAACAAAACUUUAA